GCACUGCGGAGGGGUCCCACAAUAGGACGAAAUGGCCAUCCAGUGC
rfam:Schistosoma haematobium scaffold1763_2, whole genome shotgun sequence.